GUAGUGACCUGCGGCAGGAUCAUUA
rnacentral:rRNA from 1 species